GGCCUCGUAGCUCAGUUGGGAGCGUGUGCUGUACAAAAGCGUAGGCGGCGUUCAUGCUUGAGUUCGAAUCCCACCGAGGCUA
rnacentral:tRNA from 1 species